UGUGAAGUCGGAAGUGAGGCCGUUGAGUUGUCGCUGACUUCACACUUGUAUCUUUCUGUCUGAAAUCGAUAAGUGAUUGGCUUUUACUGGUCGUAAAACUGCGGUGCGCGCGGUGACAGAAGGGUUCGUCAUGGCCUUGAAAAGGAGACGGACGACCUCCCCCUCUAGCAGUGUGAGUGGAGGAGAUUUUGACGAUAACCAAACUUCGUCGUUAGUGUCUUCAAUUGGGAGAAAGAGGAGAAGGACCUCAAACAUACCGACUGUGGAUCCUAUCGCUGUUUGUCACGAACUGUACAACACAAUCCGAGAUUAUAAGGACGACCAGGGCAGGAUGUUGUGUGAGCUGUUCAUCAGAGCUCCUAAACGCAGGAAUCAACCAGACUACUACCACGUGGUGUCUCAGCCCAUCGACAUGAUGAAAAUCCAGCAGAAAUUGAAGAUGGAGGAGUACGACGACGUCGAUCAACUCACCGCUGACUUUCAGCUGUUAUUUAAUAAUGCUAAAGUGUAUUACAAGUCCGAGAGUCCCGAGUACAGGGCCGCCUGUAAACUGUGGGACCUUUACCUGCGGACCAAAAAUGAAUUUAUCCAGCGAGGGGAAUAUGAUGACGAUGACGAUGAUGACGGGUACGAUGCACAAGACAAUCCUGUGGGGACCACUGAAGAUGAGAGUGCACCUACCUGCCUGAAAGAGGUUCUUGAGCAGCUCCUCGAUGCUGUGGUAGCUUACACCGAGCCCAGUGGUCACCUGGUGAGCGAGCUGUUCCAGAAGCUUCCCUCCAAAAUGCAAUACCCCGACUAUUAUGCCAUCAUUAAGGAACCGAUUGAUCUGAAAAUUAUUGCUCAAAAAAUCCAGUUGGGCCAAUACAGGAGUGUCAAUGUCAUGGCCAAAGACAUAGAUUUGCUGGUCAAAAAUGCCAAAACUUACAAUGAGCCUGGAUCGCAGGUGUUUAAGGAUGCAAACACCAUUAAAAAGAUUUUUACACAGAAGAAGUCUGAGAUGGAACAUGGAGAGCCGAUCAAGUCCAGCAUUCGCAUCAGGAAUAGGAGGUCUGCCCAGGGAGACCGCCUCUCAGCAAUCACUAUGGCUCUUCAGUAUGAAAGUGAUGAGGAGGGCAUACUCUCUGGGUCUGUUCACUAUGAUGAGGGCGAGUCUGAGGCAGAGAGCAUGACGUCGAACAUGGACAUGAGUAACCCCAUCUUCCAGCUGUACGAAGCUGUGCGAGGUGCCAGGAACAGCCAGGGCCAGCUGAUCUCUGAGCCUUUUCUGCAGCUGCCCUCCAGGAAGGACUACCCCGACUACUACCACCGGAUUAGCCAACCCCUUUGCCUCCAUCAGAUCAAGAACAAGAUGAAGAACAAUGAAUAUGAGAAUGUCGAGCACAUCGACUCUGACCUGACGCUCAUGUUAGAGAAUGCCAAACGUUACAAUGUCCCUCACUCCUCCAUCUACAAGCGUGCGCUCAAGCUCCAGCACAUUCAGCAGAUGAAGAGAAAGGAGCUUUUACACAGAGAUGAUGAUGAUGGAGACAGCAUGCUCUCAUCUGCCACGUCUGACACCAGUAGUACAAAAAGGAAAAGCCACAAAAAGAAUACGAAGAAAAACCGAAUGAAAGCUCUCCUGGCUGCGGUGACUGAGGCACGACAAGCUGGCACCGGUCGGAGACUGUGUGACCUUUUCAUGGUCAAGCCCUCGAAGAAGGACUACCCCGACUACUACAAGGUCAUCCUGGAGCCAAUGGACCUCAGGACCAUUGAGUACAACAUCCGCUCAGACAAGUACAUGACCGAAGAUUCAAUGUUGGAACAUAUGAAGCUGAUGUUCCGCAACGCACGACAUUACAACGAGGAAGGUUCACAGGUGUACAAUGACGCAGACAUCCUAGAGAAGAUAAUGGAAGACAGACGCAGGGACCUUGGACCAGCGACUGAUGAUGAUGACAUCAUGUCCCCCAAGUUGAAAAUAAGAAAGAAUAGUAUUACACUGAAGAAGUCCAAGUAUCUAACACCCUUACAGCAAAAGCUGAAUGAGCUUUACGAGGCUGUCAAGAACUACACAGAUAAACGAGGCCGCCGUCUCAGCACAAUCUUCCUGCGGCUGCCGUCUCGCGCCGAGCUGCCCGACUAUUACAUAGCUAUCAAGAAACCUGUGGACAUGGAGAAGAUCAAGAACCACAUGUUGGCUAAUAAGUACCAAGAUGUGGAUGCACUAGUGGAGGACUUUGUGCUCAUGUUCAACAAUGCCUGUACUUACAAUGAACCCGAGUCUCUAAUUUACCGAGACGCUCUGAUGCUGCACAGGGUGCUUUUAGAGAGGAGGCGUGACCUGGAGGGAGGAGAUGAUGCUCAUGUGCCCGAUGUGCCUCGCCUCAUCCAGGAACUCAUCCGCAGCCUCUUUGUUUCUGUGCACAGUCACCAAGAUGACGAGGGCCGUUGCUACAGUGAUUCACUUGCUGAGAUUCCUGCUCUAGAUCCUGCAAAUCCUGAGAAGCCACAGCUUAAUUUCGAGAUAAUCCGUAGGCAUGUGGACCGGGGACAUUAUAAGAGGUUGGAUGUAUUUCAGGACCACAUGUUUGAAGUGCUGGAAAAGGCCAGACGAUUGAAUAGGACCGACUCUGAGAUCUUUGAAGAUGCUGUGGAGCUGCAGCAGUUCUUCAUCCGCAUCAGAGAUGAGCUGUGUAAGAAUGGGGAGAUCUUGAUGUCUCCAGCUCUCAGCUAUACCUCCAAACACUUGCAUAGUGAUGUGGAGAAGGAGAAGAAAGAGAAGCUACCCAAGGAGUUUGAGGAGGACAAUAUUAAGAGGGAAGAGGAGAAGAGGGAAGCUGAGAAGAGGGAGGACUCGGCCGGUGGAUCGUGGCAGUCUAACCUACAACGCACAUACAGCCAGGACUGCAGCUUCAAGGACAGUAUGUACCAUGUGGGAGACUACGUGUAUGUGGAGCCUGCGGAGCCCAACCUCCAGCCCCAUGUCAUCCACAUUGAACGCCUUUGGGAAGAUGAUGUUGGUGAGAAAUGGCUAUACGGCUGCUGGUUCUACAGACCAAAUGAAACAUUUCACCUUGCUACGAGAAAGUUCCUGGAGAAGGAAGUCUUUAAGGGUGACUAUUACAACAAAGCUCCCGUCAGCAAGAUCCUGGGGAAAUGUGUGGUCAUGUUUGUGAAGGAAUAUUUCAAACUUCACCCAGACGGCUUUAGAGCGGAGGACGUAUAUGUGUGUGAAUCCCGCUACUCUGCCAAAUCCAAAUCCUUCAAGAAGAUCAAGUUGUGGACCAUGCCCCUGAGCUCUGUCCGGCUGGUUCCCAGAGAGGUGCCCCUACCUGUGGUCCGCGUGGCAUCCAUGUUUGCCCCCAAACAAGAGGAGAAACCACUCGAGAUUGUUGAUGAAAGCAAAAUGAUUGAUGGUAUAGUGGACAAGGAGAGGGAGGACGUUCCAAUGGAUAUGGCCAAUGCAGACCCUGGAUGUCAGUACUAUGAGCAGCUCUGCUACAACAACCACUGGCUCAAAAUGGGAGACUUUGUCUACAUUGGUUCUCAUGGACUAGUGCGCCACCGAGUGGGCAGGAUUGAGAAAAUGUGGAUGCGUGACGGAGCAGGCUACUUCUUUGGCCCCAUAUUCAUCCAUCCAGAGGAAACAGAGCAUGAGCCCACAAAGAUGUUCUACAAGAAGGAAGUGUUCCUCAGCAACCUGGAGGAGACGUGUCCCAUGACCUGCAUCAUUGGAAAGUGUGUAGUGUCAUGCUUCAAAGAGUACCUGUCAUGCCGACCGACUGAAGUCCCUGAAGAGAACGUUCUCCUCUGCGAGAGUCGCUACAUUGACAGUGAGAAGCAGAUGAAGAAAUUCAAGGGGCUUAAGCGCUUUUCACUCUCUGGGAAGGUUGUGGAGGAUGAAAUCUACUACUUCAGAAAGCUCAUAGUGCCUCAGAAGGAGCCAUCACCACUGCUGGACAAAAAGAUUGAGGAACUGGAGGCUAAGUUUGCUGACAUGACGGAUGAGGAACUAGAGGACCUUGGGGAUGAUGAUGGCGAGCUCGGGGACCACUCUCUCCCGCAGAUGCAGUCUUCCAUGUCUGGUGACAUGGAUAUCAUGCCUUACACUGCUCCACAGUCCACACCAAAAUCCAUAAAAGGCCUCACAAAGAAGGAAGGCUCAAAGCGGAAGAUCAACAUGAGUGGCUAUAUCCUGUUCAGCAGUGAGAUGCGUGCUGUCAUCAAAGCCCAGCACCCAGACUUCUCCUUCGGGGACCUGAGCCGCCUCGUUGGCACAGAGUGGAGGAACCUGGAGAGUACCAGGAAAGCAGAGUAUGAAGAGCGAGCAGCAAAAGUGGCAGAGCAGCAGGAGCGUGAGCGGGCCCAUCAUCAGACGUCCCCUAGAGCAGGUACCCCAGUAGGGGCACUGAUGGGGGUGGUGCCUCCCCCAACCCCCAUGGGGAUGCUAAAUCCCAGCAUGACGCCUGUGUCAGGUAACCCCUCAUAGAUGCAGGUGGCUGUCCAGUUUGCAGUAGACGGCUGGAAAUAAGAAGCUGAACUGCUAGAUUUGUUCAUUUCUAAUCACCCUCAUGGCAGCAUGUAUGUAAUGUUGCAGCAUUGUGAUUUGAUUUUGUUUCCUCUUUGUUGUUUAUUACUAUUUAUUCCUAAACUUUAACAUCUUAUUACUGACUCCACGAGUCAGUAUUUGAUGCUUGAGCGUAGUGCAUGUGCACCAUAUUGUUUUCAUCGUAUGUUUUGGUUCUGUUUUGGCUUUUAUUCCCAUUAACCUUCCACAACAUGAUCUGUUGAUAGUAUAUCUAACAUACCAAUGCAUGCCUGGUAGCGUGGUAGCGAUGCAUGUUUGACCGAUGCAUGUUGCUGUUUUGUGUGACUACUGUCCCCUCCAUAGAAGAUAUGAUGGGUGCAUAUAGAUCAGCUAUGAUGCCCCAGCAGAGCCAUGUUGAAGGCAUGGUUAGUAUGACUGGCAUACCACCACAUCUCAUGGGGGUGCCUGUCUUUCCCCAACAUCUUCUUCCCGUUAUGCCUGGGUUCCAUGGAAUGCCAUCCUUUGGUAAGAGUGCUACCACUGCCACUCCACCCGCCUCGCAGUUGCUUCCUGUCUACCAAUCUGACUUGCUGGAGGGGAUACCUGUACCUGUAGGCUUAGCCCUUAAGUUGAUAACCACUCAGUUGAGGAACUAUAACCUCAACGGUGGCACUGAAGUGAAUGAGCAAAACCUGAUAUUUAAAUUUAAAUACCCAUAUUGGCAUUCCUAAUUGUGUGACAUGUAGAUUAACUGGACCUUGGAAUUUAGUAUUCGUAGUGUAAAUGAGAAUGAAAUUGACUGCUGCACUGUUUGACUGUGUCUCGAUGUUGAAUGCCACAGGUGUCAACGGCAUGGGAAGUCCUGGACAAGGAAAUAUUCAUGGUUCACAGCAAGCUCCACCACCAUAUCCAGGACAAGGCCUGAUGGGACAACCUGCGCUCCAGCAGCCGUCCACCCCGCUGUUUGUGUCCCCACCAGCCAAGACUCAGCGGCUGCUGCACUCUGAGGCAUAUCUCAGAUACAUUGAG